rnacentral:rRNA from 1 species
UACGGGGGGGGCAAGCGUUGUUCGGAAUUACUGGGCGUAAAGGGCUCGUAGGCGGCCAACUAAGUCGGACGUGAAAUCCCUCGGCUUAACCGGGGAACUGCGUCCGAUACUGGAUGGCUUGAGUUCGGGAGAGGGAUGCGGAAUUCCAGGUGUAGCGGUGAAAUGCGUAGAUAUCUGGAGGAACACCGGUGGCGAAGGCGGCAUCCUGGACCGACACUGACGCUGAGGAGCGAAAGCCAGGGGGAGCAAACGGG